AGAGAGCUGUUGGUUUCGAACCUUAAGGCGACGCCCACGAGCAUGGGGAUUCGAGGCCGCGACGGAGACAGGUUCGUGGUGGUGCAACACCUUGUGUCUGGACGCGGCGCCGAUGAGACUGAGGACCCGAGGCAACCCGAUGCGAACGCCCGAGAGAAGGGAGACCUGUGCCAGAAACCAGAUGUCAUCACUUGGUCUCUCGCCGGCACUUUGGCCACUAUGAUUGUCGCCUUUCUCGUCCUUCUCAUUAUUUAUUAUCUAUCCAUAAGGACCAACAAGCGCGUCCGGAGCCUCAGGCGGGAACCAACGAGGCGCCAGAAGCCUGUGCCGUCCUACCUAGAGCCUCUGCCUGCCCCUGCUACUGCUGGCCCGAGGCAGACCCACGCCCACGCCGCCCUCCCUUUGCCCUGCGCCCCGUCGUCCAGCCCUGAGCACCUGUAUGAGAACCCAGACAAGGUGGGCGAGUGGAAGAACUUGUAUGUGAACGAGGCUUACGGAGGGGGAGACAGGCUGGGAUCCUUCAGCUCAGGCUCCAGCGAGUGAAGGAGCGUCAGGUGGUGGGGGCAGAAGCGCUCUUCCAGAGGCGCCAGGAGAGCCGUACACUCGCUCUUCUCCAACACUGACAGAUCAAGUUCCUCUCUGUUCUCCUAUACUGGCAGAUCAAGCUCCUCUCUUCGUCAACACUGGCAGAUGCAUCUUCUGUCUCCAACACUGGCAGAUCCAACCUUUGCCUUCUCCAACACUGACUGAUCCUUUCCCUCUCGUCUCCAAAAUUAAGACGCUUCGUCUUGCUCUAAAUUUUACCACAUAACAAGAUCAAAAUAAAUCAUUUGGUGGACAAUCACAAAGGAAUGUAGACAAUGAAUGGGAAAAGAACACAAAAACUUAUUCAAGAAAAACAGCUUCCUGCGCAGGUGAUCCCUGGGUUUAAAGAUGAGGUGAGGGCAAAAUACAACAGCAUGAGAACCUACUUCCUGAAAGAGUAUAGGAAAACUCGGGUUGCAUCUAGUGGAUCAGCUGGAGAUUGUCAAUCAAAAUGAUAGUUAUUUGAUGCCAUGUCCUUCGUCAAGGAUACGAUGAACAUUUACUCCACACAGUCAAGCCAGAUCCUUUAUACUGAGCCUCAAAGAUGCUCCUCAGCAGUGAAGGAAAACUUUUCAAGUUCAGAGGAUCUUGGAGCCGGAACCCACUGUUGUAUUUUCUACAAGUUCUCUAGACCCGCCCCAACACCAUGCACAUCUGGGUUGUUUUGGUCAUCACCCCCACCAUCUUCACUCUCACCAGAGCCUCAACAGACACCGGCGAGUACUCCUUUUCAGCCAAAGGCAAAGAGAAGGAAGACUGCUGAUCCUCUUAAUGAGCAGUGUCUAGAGGCAGUUAAAGUUUUAAUAAAUGCGUUAAACUAAGACACCGAGAACGAUUUUUGUUCCCGGUUUGGAAAAAGCAUAGAGCGUUGGCUGAGAGGAUUUGAUCCUGAUGUGAGGGUAAUAGUGGAAAACAAAUUGAAUUUUGUGAUAGCUGAAAUGGUUGAAAAGUAUGGUGUUAAAUUGUAAAGUGGUAAAGAUGAUUUAUGUUACUGUGGUGGUGUACAGCUUCCCAGGUAUUUCUUGGUUCUGUAACCCAUCCUUUUUACUAUGUGAUCAAUUUGUGAUAUGUUGAAUUACUAUACAAAAUAGCUUGUAAUGCAGUAGUCUAAUACUAGUUUUUAUGCUUUACAAUAUAUGCAUUAAUUUUCUAGUUUAAUAAUGCUUAUCAUAUAAAUAUCAUUAUAUUGGUUUCUAUAUGUUAUGCUUUGCUCCGGGAAUAUUUUUAUACAUGACAAAUUAUUU